GGGGUUACUCACCCUAUCUCCGCUGUCUUCACCAUUGUUAUCCUCCGUUUGCAAGCUCUGAUCAUCCCUGUAAUUCAUCAAUGUAUAUACAUAAGAAUAUAACUCAUCGUCCUUUGGACUACGUACAUACGUUGAUACGUAUACGAGGAAGAGAGAUCAUCACAGAUGGUGCUAUGGGGUUUUCACUUUUAAUUCUGGGUCAUCUUCGGCAACGUUAUUAAGAUUUGACAGUUUUUAAGUUAUUUUUAUAGUCAUUGCAACAUUAUGCGAUCGUUAUCUAAAAUCAAAAGCAAUACUUUUACUUUUUUUUAAA